CAGGGUCCCUGGGUAGGUUGUGGAAGAUGUCUAGUAACUACCAUCCCUCCCUUUCGUUCAAUAUAAAAGAGGAGGAACUAAGAAGGGGUGAUGUUGAGGCCGGAGAGCAAUUUGGACUAUUUCCUGUUGUCCGGGGUUGUCGCAUGUUCGGGCAUUGCUGAUCCUCACCAUCAGGGCACACUCCGUAACCAUGAGACUCAGGCUUUGUGGCUAGCAGCCCGUAGUCCCGUAACAGUAAAUUAGUUGUUUGAUUAGAGAGUUUUUUGAGUUUGUUGUUGAAGAAAUGCCAGAGGAGAAGAAAUUGAUAAAAGAGGGUUCGAUGACAGCCAGGAGGGGCAAGAUUUGAACUGCCCUUUCAUCAUGUCUGGCAGCUAUUGCGUGCAACAGGAAUUGGUUGGAACUCCUGAAAAAUGAGGCCUAGCUGGAAAAGAGACCACUGGGGACAGACCUCUCUGAUGCUACAACACAG
rnacentral:lncRNA from 1 species